UGGCUCAGUGUGUAGAGGAUGGCACUUGUAACGCCAGAGUUGUGGGUUCAAUUCCCAC
rnacentral:tRNA from 1 species